rfam:Neisseria mucosa ATCC 25996 N_mucosa-1.0.2_Cont12.1, whole genome shotgun sequence.
CGCGGGAUGGAGCAGCAUGGUAGCUCGUCGGGCUCAUAACCCGAAGGUCGUAGGUUCGAAUCCUGCUCCCGCAA